rnacentral:rRNA from 1 species
GACGAACGCUGGCGGCGUGCCUAACACAUGCAAGUCGAACGGAGAUACGAUUUCGGUUGUAUCUUAGUGGCGAACGGGUGAGUAACGCGUGAGAAACCUGACUCUUAGAGGGGGAUAACACUCGGAAACGGGUGCUAAUACCGCAUAAGACCACGACCCGACAUCGGGAUGAGGUCAAAGGAGCAAUCCGCUGAGAGAGGGGCUCGCGUCCCAUUAGAUAGAUGGCGGGGUAACGGCCCACCAUGUCGACGAUGGGUAGCCGCGCUGAGAGGCUGAUCGGCCACACUGGAACUGAGACACGGUCCAGACUCCUACGGGAGGCAGCAGUGGGGAAUAUUGGGCAAUGGGCGCAAGCCUGACCCAGCAACGCCGCGUGAGGGAAGAAGGCUUUCGGGUUGUAAACCUCUGUCCUUGGUGACGAAGAAAGCGACGGUAGCCAAGGAGGAAGCCCCGGCUAACUACGUGCCAGCCGCCGCAGUAA